CCCUUAGAUGUUCUGGGCCGCACGCGCGCUACACUGACGAUGGCAACGAGUUUUUCCUUCGCCGAAAGGUGUGGGUAAUCUUUUGAAACAUCGUCGUGCUGGGGACAGAUCAUUGCAAUUUUUGAUCUUGAACGAGGAAUUCCUAGUAAGCGCGAGUCAUCAGCUCGCGUUGAUUACGUCCCUGCCCUUUGUACACACCGCCCGUCGCUACUACCGAUUGAAUGGUUUAGUGAGGACUCCUGAUUGGCGCCGCCGCCCCGGCAACGGAGCAGCGGACUGCCGAAAAGUUGUUCAAACUUGAUCAUUUAGAGGAAGUAAAAGUCGUAACA
rnacentral:rRNA from 1 species